rnacentral:rRNA from 1 species
UACGUAGGGCGCAAGCGUUGUCCGGAAUUAUUGGGCGUAAAGAGCUCGUAGGCGGUUUGUCGCGUCUGCUGUGAAAACCUAAGGCUCAACCUUGGGCUUGCAGUGGGGUACGGGGCAGACUAGAGUGCGGUAGGGGGUGACUGGAAUUCCUGGUGUAGCGGUGGAAUGCGUAGAUAUCAGGAGGAACACCGAUGGCGAAGGCAGGUCAC